rnacentral:rRNA from 1 species
CAGGCUUAACACAUGCAAGUCGAGGGGCAGCAUGGUCUUAGCUUGCUAAGGCCGAUGGCGACCGGCGCACGGGUGAGUAACACGUAUCCAACCUGCCGUCUACUCUUGGACAGCCUUCUGAAAGGAAGAUUAAUACAAGAUGGCAUCAUGAGUCCGCAUGUUCACAUGAUUAAAGGUAUUCCGGUAGACGAUGGGGAUGCGUUCCAUUAGAUAGUAGGCGGGGUAACGGCCCACCUAGUCUUCGAUGGAUAGGGGUUCUGAGAGGAAGGUCCCCCACAUUGGAACUGAGACACGGUCCAAACUCCUACGGGAGGCAGCAGUGAGGAAUAUUGGUCAAUGGGCGAGAGCCUGAACCAGCCAAGUAGCGUGAAGGAUGACUGCCCUAUGGGUUGUAAACUUCUUUUAUAAAGGAAUAAAGUCGGGUAUGGAUACCCGUUUGCGUGUACUUUAUGAAUAAGGAUCGGCUAACUCCGUGCCAGCAGCCGCGGUAAUACGGAGGAUCCGAGCGUUAUCCGGAUUUAUUGGGUUUAAAGGGAGCGUAGAUGGAUGUUUAAGUCAGUUGUGAAAGUUUGCGGCUCAACCGUAAAAUUGCAGUUGAUACUGGAUAUCUUGAGUGCAGUUGAGGCAGGCGGAAUUCGUGGUGUAGCGGUGAAAUGCUUAGAUAUCACGAAGAACUCCGAUUGCGAAGGCAGCCUGCUAAGCUGCAACUGACAUUGAGGCUCGAAAGUGUGGGUAUCAAACAGGAUUAGAUACCCUGGUAGUCCACACGGUAAACGAUGAAUACUCGCUGUUUGCGAUAUACUGCAAGCGGCCAAGCGAAAGCGUUAAGUAUUCCACCUGGGGAGUACGCCGGCAACGGUGAAACUCAAAGGAAUUGACGGGGGCCCGCACAAGCGGAGGAACAUGUGGUUUAAUUCGAUGAUACGCGAGGAACCUUACCCGGGCUUAAAUUGCAGAUGAAUUACGGUGAAAGCCGUAAGCCGCAAGGCAUCUGUGAAGGUGCUGCAUGGUUGUCGUCAGCUCGUGCCGUGAGGUGUCGGCUUAAGUGCCAUAACGAGCGCAACCCUUGUUGUCAGUUACUAACAGGUUCCGCUGAGGACUCUGACAAGACUGCCAUCGUAAGAUGUGAGGAAGGUGGGGAUGACGUCAAAUCAGCACGGCCCUUACGUCCGGGACUACACACGUGUUACAAUGGGGGGUACAGAGGGCCGCUACCACGCGAGUGGAUGCCAAUCCCCAAAACCUCUCUCAGUUCGGACUGGAGUCUGCAACCCGACUCCACGAAGCUGGAUUCGCUAGUAAUCGCGCAUCAGCCACGGCGCGGUGAAUACGUUCCCGGGCCUUGUACACACCGCCCGUCAAGCCAUGGGAGCCGGGGGUACCUGAAGUGCGUAACCGCGAGGAGCGCCCUAGGGUAAAACUGGUGACUGGGGCUAAGUCAUAACAAGG